rnacentral:rRNA from 1 species
UACGAAGGGGGCUAGCGUUGCUCGGAAUCACUGGGCGUAAAGCGCACGUAGGCGGCCUACUAAGUCAGGGGUGAAAUCCUGGAGCUCAACUCCAGAACUGCCUUUGAUACUGGUGGGCUUGAGUCCGGGAGGGGUGAGUGGAACUGCGAGUGUAGAGGUGAAAUUCGUAGAUAUUCGCAAGAACACCAGUGGCGAAGGCGGCUCACUGGCCCGGUACUGACGCUGAGGUGCGAAAGCGUGGGGAGCAAACAGG